rnacentral:tRNA from 1 species
GGGGGUAGAGCUAGGUGGUAGAGCGUGUGCUUAGCAUGUGCGAGGUCAUGGGUUCAAUUCCCAGUACCUCCA